rnacentral:tRNA from 1 species
AGUUAGGUAGUAUAGGCUAAAGUACAGAUCACUUACACUGAUCAGGCUCAGAUUUCUUUGAUCUAAUUU